rnacentral:rRNA from 1 species
CCAGACUCCUACGGGAGGCAGCAGUGGGGAAUAUUGCACAAUGGGGGAAACCCUGAUGCAGCGACGCCGCGUGAAGGACGAAGUAUUUCGGUACGUAAACUUCUAUCAGCAGGGAAGAAAAUGACGGUACCUGACCAAGAAGCUCCGGCUAACUACGUGCCAGCAGCCGCGGUAAUACGUAGGGGGCAAGCGUUAUCCGGAUUUACUGGGUGUAAAGGGAGCGUAGACGGCCAUGCAAGUCUGAUGUGAAAACCCGGGGCUCAACCCCGGGACUGCAUUGGAAACUGUGCGGCUGGAGUGUCGGAGAGGCAAGUGGAAUUCCUAGUGUAGCGGUGAAAUGCGUAGAUAUUAGGAGGAGCACCAGUGGCGAAGGCGGCUUGCUGGACGACGACUGACGUUGAGGCUCGAAAGCGUGGGGAGCAAACAGGAUUAGAUACCCUCGUAGU